AUGGCCUGGUGAGGCUGGGCAGAGAGAGGUUGGGGCAGCGACCAGGCGUGGUCUCCGCCAGUGGGCGGCCGCAGCUGCAAGGAACUCACUGAGGCCCUAGCCCCGCCACGGCUGCUCAGACGCAGGUUUGGCUUCUUCGCAAAAAUGUGGAUUCAGAAAAGCACCCAGGAAGGCUGAACCUCAAAGAUCAGACACAGGCACAAGUGGUGAAGCAUACAAGAGAAGUGCUUUGGUUCCUCCUGUGGAAGAAACGGCCUUUUAUCCUUCUUUGUAUCCUAUAGGGACUCUCAUAAAAUCUUUAUUUUUUACUGUUGGGUUUACAGGCUGUGCAUUUGGAUCAGCUACUAUUUGGCAAUAUGAAUCACUGAAAUCCAGGGUCCAGAGUUAUUUUGAUGAUAUAAAAGCUGACGGUUGGGAUAGCAUAAGAUCACAAAAAAGAGACUUCAGAAAGGAGAUUAACAAGUGGUAGAAUAACCUAAGCGAUGGCCACCAGACUAUGACAGGUUAUCACAGCUGCAAAUGAAUGUCUUUGUAUUCUGUUUAUAGAGAGUACCUUCUCUGCAGCGGACAAUGAUCAGAUAUUUCGCAUCUAAUCCAGCCUCAAAAGCCCUUUCUUUUCCAAUGUUGCUGUCAACAUUCAGUCAUUUCUCCUUAUUUCACAUGGCAGCAAAUAUCUUAUGUUUUGUGGAGCUUCGCCUCCAGCACAGUGAACAUUCUGGAUCAAGAGCAGUGUUAUUAUCUGCAGGUGUUAUUUCCAAUUGUGUCAGUUAUGUGUGUAAAGUUGCCACAGGAAGAUAGGGACCAUCACUUGGUGCAUCUGGCACCAUCAUGAUGGUCUUUGCAGCUGUCUGCACUAAGAUCCCAGAAGGGAGGCUUGCCAUUAUUUCCCUUCAGAUGUUCACAUUCAUAGCAGAGAAUGCCCUAAAAGCCAUUAUGGCCAUGGAUACAGCAGAAAUCUUCAUGGGAUGGAAAUUUUUUUAUCAUGCAGUGCAUCCUGGGGGAGCUCUCUUUGGAAUAUGGUAUGUUACUUAUGGUCAUUAACUGUUUUGGAAGAACAGGGAGCUUCUAGUGAAAAUCUGGCACGAAAUGAGGACUAAUGGCCCCCAAAAAAGGAGGUGGCUCUAAGUAA
rnacentral:lncRNA from 1 species